GCACUCAUAAGAAUUCUUACAUAACAUCAUCUAGAUCAUUGUGAGGAUAUUCAAUUUAAAAUCACAUUCACAAGAAUGUUAUACUAUUUAUAAUAAAGGUGUUCAUAUAAUUACAAAGAACCUCAAACACCACUACAUACAUAAUUACUGUCUACCAAAGUCAUGAUUCUCACAACUCUAUACCCCCAUAGACAUCUCUUACAGUGGCUAAAUAAAAAAGCAUUGCAUAAUCUCAUCAAAUAAUUGACUAAAAAAUCAUCCCUGAAUUAGACUCACCAUAUGCAAGCAUUCAUAGUCAAUUGUUACUUGGAUAAUUUCACAUUAUAUUCAUAUGCUCACAAAAAAACAAAUAAUAAAAAAUACGAACCCUUAAUUUGCCAUUCACGAUGCUAAUAAAUAAGAAUCCAGCACCAUAGUCCAUUAUAUUUGGUCUUUUAGCACUGGUUGCCAACUUCUUUGGCCUAUCCACCAUAUCUCGCCACCUAGUUUGCACUGUAGCCUCGCCGGACCAAGAGAAGGAGAAGAAAAAGAAUAGGGGUCAUUAGCUUCUCCUCAUCCACCUUAACCCUUUGUCCUGACUACCUUAAUUAAGAAGCAGAAUCGAUAUGAGAAUAUGAGUCCGAUUCGAAACCACUGUGAGCCGUCGUGCGAGUAAGAACCUAAAUCUUAGCCACCAUGAAGAUUGGGGUUUCAUUGUUGAGAACCACCGCAAACCACCAUCAUUGCCAUGCCGGACAGAUGGAGAAGACGAAAUUCAGAGAUGACCCCCUUUGUUACUACCAUUAACCGGAGAAGAGAUGAUGAAAGGAUGGUGAAGAUUUCAACCCAAUUUGGGGUUCUUAGUGGAACGAAGCCCACUGUUGGGGCUUUUUAAUUAGCUUAG
rnacentral:lncRNA from 1 species